rnacentral:rRNA from 1 species
UACGUAGGUGGCAAGCGUUGUCCGGAUUUACUGGGCGUAAAGGGCGUGCAGGCGGUCUGUUAAGUGCAGGGUGAAAGCUCCCGGCUCAACUGGGAGAGGUCCUUGCAUACUGGCGGACUUGAGGGGGGUAGAGGAAAGUGGAAUUCCCGGUGUAGUGGUGAUAUGCGUAGAUAUCGGGAGGAACACCAGUGGCGAAGGCGGCUCUCUGGGCCCUACCUGACGCUGAGACGCGAAAGCGUGGGGAGCGAACCGG